rnacentral:rRNA from 1 species
UGCGUAGGCGGCCGUUUAAGUAGGGUGUGAAAUGCCAGAGCUCAACUUUGGCAUUGCGCUCUAGACUGAAUGGCUUGAGUGAGAUAGGGGUGUGCGGAACUUCCAGUGGAGCGGUGAAAUGUGUUGAUAUUGGAAGGAACGCCGGUGGCGAAAGCGGCACACUGGGUCUUAACUGACGCUGAGGACACCAAAAGGGCCAGGGGAAGGCAACG